rnacentral:snRNA from 14 species
GCCGAGGGCGUCGUAUGAAUACUCGGGCCAAGCGAAGUGGGGGUCGGCGGUGACACUCCUCAUGGCCCGGCACACCGAGGGCACCGACGGCUGGCAAGGCAACAUCUGCAAAGCCUGGGCCCAAGUUGGCUCCGGAGCCGACUCCAUGGCACGGCGCGAGGAGAUGGGGGAA